GACGAGACAGAAGGGCGCGCGCACUAACAGCGCGUGAGCUUCUGUUCCACCGUUAGGCGUCACCAGAAGCGUAGCCCGUCUCUGCCCCGUCUCUGCCAGUUAGGCCUCGCCUCGGAACGCCGCUGAACCGAGUGGCGAACACUUUCUGUAAUUUCGCUGUUAUGGCCACCAGCCAGAGCCUCGAACAGCAGCAGCAGCAACACGGCAACCAGACUCACAGUACAGCAGC
rnacentral:lncRNA from 1 species